UGUAUUGCUUGCCUGGAAAAUUGCUAUGACCCUAUGUGUACUGAGAAAGUAAGUAAUCACCUAGACAAGUGAUAAUUGUUAUUCUUAUCUGAAAAAAAGACGUGAAAGAAUAGCAAAAGAUUUGUCACCAAAAAUACAGUCACCAGGUAAUUUUUCAAUAUUGAAAAUAUGAUCUAAUCCAACUCACAAAAGCUAAAUUCCAAUCCAAUGAGGGGUGGUUAGAUAGGCAGUUCUUCAUAAUGGAGGAGCAAACUGUUAAAAACAAAGGAAUGACCUGCAAAAUGAUCCUGUAGGCAUGAAACAAUCAUGUAAAUGUUAAAAAAACUCAGAACCUUGAUUAUAAGGUAAUAAAGAUUAAUUAUUCAGCUACAUAAAACUAAACUGGAAUUCAUCUUUGGAUAUGCAGAGCUACACAGUGAUGCUUCAUUAAUAUUUAAAAUCACUGUGGACAAUGUUCAGACCUUGAUAUCAUCUCUUAAAAUCGUGUCUCACCUAUCUAGAGAGUCGUUGUUAACACAGUCCAGUGGAUUUUCAUGCCACUUAAGACGGCUUAAUUUUUAUUUCUUACUCUGAUAUACUUGCUGCACAGUGAUACUACGUACUACAUACCCAUUUUCAUAAAAUAGCUAUGAGAAUAUUUUAAUUGAAGAAAAUGACUGCAAGUUUAAAGAUGAUAUGUGAAUUUGAUUAUUAAUAAGUUUGAUCAAUAUAGUAAUGAAUUUAAUAAAUUAUGUAAUCUUUUAAGACAACAAAAAAUAACCUUCUAUUUUGUAUAAAAACACAGGAUUUCUGGAUGAUGUCCAGAAGCUCUCCACCUCUCACCUACCAGCACGAGGGAAUGUGGCACAUUACGGCAUCAUAUGAACUGAUUGUGAUUGCCUGCAUAGCUUUUUCCCCAUCCAUUUCAAUCAGAAAUCUGCUCCAGAGUAUGAGCCAACCAUCGUGUUUCUAUGAGAUUUGCAGCAGCUAUAUCUGACACCCAUCGCUGUGCUUCUGUCGCUGAGCUCUGUGGUGCUUCUGACAAAUCUGUUUCCCUCAGAUUGGCUUCAGCCGCUCUGUUCGGUGUGCCUGCAGACUCUUUUCAUUAUAAGCAGUAGGGUUGUGGGGAGGAAGAGAAUAAAGAAGAAACAAGUAGAUUGAUAAGAGUGAUUUGAGUAGAGAGAGAAAAUCUGCACAACAGAGCAUUUUUAAGUUUAUGUUAUUGCAAUUUGUGUUUCCUCUUUGGCAAGAGGGAAGCAUUGAGUUUUAAUAACAACACAUGACAGGCUUAAGGGAAGGGAUGAUAGGGUUUUCUUGCCUUCUAUUCAGCAGCUGUAAGCAGCUGUUUGUCCAUACUGGCCAGUCAGUACCUAAGAAAAAGUUGGGUUGGAAGUAGAAGAAUGUACCUGUAGCAAGUAAUAAAUGAAGCAGACCAUGGAAGUAACUGAAGGUUUGAACAUAACUCAGCCUAUUUAAAUAAGUUAUACGUGUCAAGACCAUCAUCAAAACCUCCUAAUGGUAAGAAAAACCCGAGUAUGGUAAUGUCUUAGAAAAAAAAUCAACAACCGUUGAGUAUAUUCUUUUUGGACAAAGACAUAGAAAAGGUAAUUGUGAAUUAAAUCCAGCUGCACAGAGAAGGUAAAUGAGAAUCAACUCCAGCUGUGCCUGAUUUCCAUAAGUAUCUGAGAUUGCAGUUCAGGCUACAGGCCUAGAUAUAGCACAAUUUACUGGAUGCUUCUUACUGCCCUUGAGAAAAAAAAACCAAAUCAAAACAAAAGCUUCAUUUAUGCUGAUAUCGCUUCAACAAUAUGUUAUUGGCAUGCUUACACAGUGUGACAGAGCUAAGCUAAUCACAUGCAAAAUAUUAAGAUAGAUGCUGAACAAAUGUGUUUGCUUCCCAAAACGUAAUGACUGCAUGAUGUUUUAAGUGGGACUGAUUGUGUUGCUUUACAUUUUCCACUGGAGUGCUGUGUUCUGUUGUCAUAUCCAUGCCAAACUAUAACCCUUUCAUUGAUUAACACAAGCACAGUCAUAGGAUACAUAGUCCAACCAAGUAAUAUUAUAUCAUUUCCAUCAUAAGGGUGUGUAUAUAUACAUAGAUCAGCACAGUAAUAAUCAUUCCAUCAGUGUCUUUAUGUAUCGGCAAUUUUAACUUAUAAUUGUCUUCUUAGUAUAUUGUCAUUUCCACAUCCCCUCCUACUCAUUAAUGGUAUUUAUGUAUUCAAUUAAUGCAUUUCUUUCAAGUAAAAGGUUAUUUUAUGACUAAAGCUGCAAGGAGAAAGAAAAAAAAAGAACAAUCUAUGAGUGGAAUAAAAUUAGACCUUUUGUGAGUAAAGGGCCUUGGAAUGCCAGAGGAUCCCAAAUGCCUAUUGUCUGGGGAAGAAAAUGAUUUAUAAUAUAUGCUAGAUGAAUUCAGUGUUUGAAAAUUAGCAAGGCGAUGAGGUUGAUUGUUCCAGGACUGCUUUUAUUAAGAAAUCUGGCAUUGUGCUAUACAUAAAGUCCAUGUUUAAAUGCUACCUAUUUGUCAUAUAACUGGCAUAGUCCCACAGUGCCAGAGUGUUUUGAUGAAAUAGUGGCAGCUGAGGACUGACAGAUAGUUGUCAUCUAGAUCAACUGUUCCACCACAGAGUUUUAUUUAAUUAACCAGAUAUGGAAGAGAUAUUUUUUGCUAUUGGAAUUAGGUGAAUAAAAUAGUAUAAAACCCAGUAACUUUUUACAUUACUUCUGUUUAAAAAAGAAAAAAACAAACAACAACAACAAAAAUCCAAACCACCUGUUUCUAUCAUUACUUUCUAGUAAGAAAAAAAGUUACAGUCACAUCAGCUGCUGAGUUGAAACCUUUUGUUGCAUGAGGAGGACUAAAUCUAUGUUCUAAUAGGAUCCUCAGUUAUACACCACUCCCUGCCUCAUUCCAAAACUAAAAGAAGAGAUGUUCUGGUCUGGUUUCGACAAGUAAUGUUCCAGCAAUUGCACACAGUGGAGAUUUUUUCAAGGCACAUCAGGUAUAUCCUGUAUCAAAAUGGAUGGACCAUGCAAGAACACACUUCCAACACUUAACAAGUAAGUUAGUUUUCAUAAGGAUGAGAAAGUGCCUCCUGAGACAACAUAUUGCUGAGAAGAAUUAGAACACCAAAGAAAAUCUCCCUUCAGUACAUGAUCAGCAGUGAAAUUGCAGGGACUUGCAGAUAGAUUUGAAUAAACUCAUUUCUAUGAAGACAUAAGGAAGAAAUGAUCAGAAGUUCAAAGGUCAGAGCUCCCUGUUUAAUUUUUUUAUGAUUUCCAAUUCUUGAUGAGGUUCCCAGUAUCAACAUUCUGCUCAGUUAUUUGCCCAGCACUCAUCCUAUUCAUAUUUGAUAUAGGAUAAUUAGCAACUGGCCUUGAGAAGUGCAACCCUUUCUACCAUCUGCACAAUCAAUGUUAGAAAGUGUUCUGCUUCCUAGGGA